GAUUUAAAUCUCAGCACGACUGAACAUAGGUACUCCACUCGUCUUCCUUUACGAUCACAUUUCUUUUCCUUGGACAAUGGGUUUCGUGCAAAUGAAACGACAUUCGAGACAUUAACGUCGCGGCUAAAUGGUAGAAAUCAAGGGAAACCGUGGUGGCGAGGAGAAAACCGGAACGGAUGUGAUCACGGGAACGUAACGUACCAUGGUAAAUAAAAUCACGUUGUAAAAGAUUGGAAUCUGGAACGAGUCUUAUCAAAAAUAAAACCAACCGGCCGGUUUCAAAGGGAUAGUGGUAGGUAAGGAACGGAAUGAAAGAAUGGCGCUAUAUCGACUCGCGGUAAGCAUUCGAGAUAUUGAUAUCCUCGCAAUUGUAUACGUUUGGGAAAUAGAAAUUUGUUGGUAAAACUCGACUGCAGGCUAUUUAUUAUUUAGAUCGUAAUAUGAUAAAGUUAAUUAAAUGAUAACUGUCUUUUUAUCUCUCACAAAUUUGUAUAUCGAUCAAUGUCGGAUGAUAAAUUUACGCAGCGUUAAUAUCCGGCCGCUAAUGAAGGAAUGUGGCAUUCGUGACAGAGUAGAUAUCGGUGGAAUGUCGACAAAUUAAAUAAAUCAGAUGAUUUAUGAUACAGAUUUA